AUUGAACGCUGGCGGCAUGCCUUACACAUGCAAGUCGAACGGUAACGGGCCUUCGGGUGCCGACGAGUGGCGAACGGGUGAGUAAUGUAUCGGAACGUACCUUUCAGUGGGGGAUAACGUAGCGAAAGUUACGCUAAUACCGCAUAUUCUGUGAGCAGGUAAGCAGGGGAUCGCAAGACCUUGCGCUGAUUGAGCGGCCGAUAUCAGAUUAGCUAGUUGGUGAGGUAAAGGCUCACCAAGGCGACGAUCUGUAGUGGGUCUGAGAGGAUGAUCCGCCACACUGGACCUGAGACACGGUCCAGACUCCUACGGGGGGCAGCAGUGGGGAAUUUUGGACAAUGGGGGCAACCCUGAUCCAGCCGUGCCGCGGGAGUGAAGAAGGCCUUCGGGUUGUAAAGCUCUUUCGGCCGGGAAGAAAUCGUAUCAGCUAAUACCUGGUGCGGAUGACGGUACCGGCAUAAGAAGCACCGGCUAACUACGUGCCAGCCGCCGCCGUAAUAC
rnacentral:rRNA from 1 species